GGCAACCAACACCCAGCUGGACCACACUGCUGACCCCCAGUACUGCAGCCCUGGAGGGGUUUUGGUGCUGGACCUGUGAUGGGGACAGUGAGACAGCAUCCCAGCCUUUGGGAAGAGGUGGGUAAAGAGACUCCAUGCAGCACCUCUGCAUCUGCAGCAUCCCUGGGCAUAUUCUUCCUGUGCUCUGUUGGAGGAGUUGGCAUCAAUUCAGGACCAGCCCUUGGGAUGUGGAGAGAUGGACCAACUUCCUUCUGGAGGAAGCAAGCAGUGAGCAACCCCAUUACAGCUGAUAAUGAAGGCAAGGUGCACAUUCUUCAGCACACAGCCUAAUCUCAACCAGAUGAAAUGCAAAAAGCAGAAGCACUAAGGGAGAAGUCAGCAUUUGCAAAAAGCAGCCCCAAGAAUCAGACUGCCUCAGAUUGCCAAGAGAUCAGAUAAAAGCCCUCAUUACAACCUGCCAACGUGCGUGCGAUGAAAAGAAAGAUAUGGCCACGAGACAGGGAUGCAUGCACAGAGCCACCUGCAGCCCCCAGCAACGACUUUGCCAUUGGGGUGGGUUACAUCACACCAAGUGAGGGUAUGGCCUGAAGUAGGAUGAAGUAGUUUUGCAUGAACAUGCACAAAGGCACAGUGCAUGCAGCUGGAGAGCUCAGCAACACCAUGUUGAGGUCUUUUUGGCUCCGGUACAAAGCAAAAGAAUGCAGAUAAAUAAGAAAGGAGGUGAUAAAGCA